GUGCUUGCUUUGGCAGCACAUACACAAAAUUGGAAUGAUACUGAGAAUAUUAGCAUGGCCCCUGUACAAGGAUGAUGUGUAAAUUCAUGAAGCAUUCUAUAGUUUU
ensembl:snRNA U6 U6 spliceosomal RNA